GACGGAAGGUGCAAGCGUUGCUCGGAAUCACUGGGCGUAAAGGGUGCGUAGGCGGCCGUGCAAGUCUGGCGUGAAAGCCCCGGGCUCAGCCCGGGAAGUGCGCUCGAAACUGCGCGGCUCGAGUGCCGGAGGGGAGAGUGGAAUUCCUGGUGUAGCGGUAGAAAUGCGCAGAUAUCAGGAAGAACACCUAUGGCGAAGGCAGCUCUCUGGGACGGUACUGACGCUGAGACGCGAAAGCGUGGGGAGCGAACAGG
rnacentral:rRNA from 1 species